CCUACGGGGGGCUGCAGUGGGGAAUAUUGGGCAAUGGAGGAAACUCUGACCCAGCAACGCCGCGUGAAGGAUGAAGGUUUUCGGACUGUAAACUUCUGUCGCGAGGGAUGAAGAAUGACGGUACCUCGUAAGAAAGCCCCGGCAAACUACGUGCCAGCAGCCGCGGUAAUACGUAGGGGGCGAGCGUUGUCCGGAAUGACUGGGCGUAAAGGGAGUGUAGACGGCGCUGCAAGUCCGGAGUGAAAGCCCAUGGCUUAACCAUGGUACUGCUCUGGAAACUGUAGAGCUUGAGUGCGGGAGGGGCAGGCGGAAUUCCUAGUGUAGCGGUGAAAUGCGUAGAUAUUAGGAGGAACACCGGCGGCGAAGGCGGCCUGCUGGACCGUAACUGACGUUGAGGCUCGAAAGCGUGGGGAGCAAACAGGAUUAGAUACCCGGGUAGUC
rnacentral:rRNA from 1 species